rnacentral:rRNA from 1 species
UACGUAGGGUGCAAGCGUUAUCCGGAAUUAUUGGGCGUAAAGAGCUCGUAGGCGGUUUGUCACGUCUGCUGUGAAACUGGAGGCUCAACCUCCAGCCUGCAGUGGGUACGGGCAGACUAGAGUGCGGUAGGGGAGAUUGGAAUUCCUGGUGUAGCGGUGGAAUGCGCAGAUAUCAGGAGGAACACCGGUGGCGAAGGCGGGUCUCUGGGCAGUAACUGACGCUGAGGAGCGAAAGCGUGGGGAGCGAACAGG